rnacentral:lncRNA from 1 species
UGAUCACACAGGCAGCUUCUCAGAGGCUUUUCUGGUUAUUCAUUAAUGCACCGUUUAAACUCUGAGAAUUCUAGGCCAUAAGGGUCCCCAUCCCUCUGACCCCAAUGGAGCUGCUGCUAGUGGAGCCACCUUGACUCAUUUACAUAGAGCUUGAGGAUUCCCUCUGGGAAUACAGACAGGUGCGCGGACACCCCCUGCCCGGCCACCUGUGUAACCCCUGCAAUAUCUUCAAGAAUUCCUCAAGGAUCAUCUCUCCCAGGAUGCUUAUCCCAGGUACAGUUCAGCGGCGUUAAAUUCAUUUACAUCGGUGUGCAACAAUCACCACCUCCUUCUCCAGAGUGGAUGGUGUUUCGAAAUGGCCUGGCCCCUUGAAACAGUCAUGCGGCUGAAUUAGGGGAAACUGUAUUUGUCAGCUCAGAGUGCCACGACGCAACACCACAGCGUGGGCGGAUUAAACAGCAGAAGCCCAUUUCUCACACUUCUGGAGCCCGAGAAGUACAAGAUCAAGGUAGGUUUCAUUCUGAGAAUUUCAUUGGCCUGUAGGUACCUGCCGGCUUGCGGUGUAAUCAUGUGACCUCUUUGUGGGAAAG